GAUGAACGCUGGCGGCGUGCCUAAUACAUGCAAGUCGAGCGAACGGACGAGAAGCUUGCUUCCCUGAUGUUAGCGGCGGACGGGUGAGUAACACGUGGAUAACCUACCUAUAAGACUGGGAUAACUUCGGGAAACCGGAGCUAAUACCGGAUAAUAUUUUGAACCGCAUGGUUCAAAAGUGAAAGACGGUCUUGCUGUCACUAACAGAUGGAUCCGCGCUGCAUUAGCUAGUUGGUAAGGUAACGGCUUACCAAGGCAACGCUGCGUAGCCGACCUGAGAGGGUGAUCGGCCACACUGGAACUGGGACGCGGUCCAGACUCCUACGGGAGGCAGCAGUAGGGAAUCUUCCGCGAUGGGCGAAGGCCUGACGGAGCAACGCCGCGUGAGUGAUGAAGGUCUUCGGAUCGUAAAACUCUGUUAUUAGGGAAGAACAUAUGUGUAAGUAACUGUGCACAUCUUGACGGUACCUAAUCAGAAAGCCACGGCUAACUACGUG
rnacentral:rRNA from 1 species